CACUCCUACGGGAGGCAGCAGUGGGGAAUUUUGGACAAUGGGCGAAAGCCUGAUCCAGCAAUGCCGCGUGAGUGAAGAAGGCCUUCGGGUUGUAAAGCUCUUUUGUCAGGGAAGAAACGGUGAAAGCUAAUAUCUUUUGCUAAUGACGGUACCUGAAGAAUAAGCACCGGCUAACUACGUGCCAGCAGCCGCGGUAAUACGUAGGGUGCAAGCGUUAAUCGGAAUUACUGGGCGUAAAGCGUGCGCAGGCGGUUUUGUAAGUCUGAUGUGAAAUCCCCGGGCUCAACCUGGGAAUUGCAUCGGAGACUGCAAGGCUAGAAUCUGGCAGAGGGGGGUAGAAUUCCACGUGUAGCAGUGAAAUGCGUAGAUAUGUGGAGGAACACCGAUGGCGAAGGCAGCCCCCUGGGUCAAGAUUGACGCUCAUGCACGAAAGCGUGGGGAGCAAACAGGAUUAGAAACCCGAGUAGUCCC
rnacentral:rRNA from 1 species